AGCGAACGCUGGCGGCAGGCCUAACACAUGCAAGUCGAACGAACCUUUCGGGGUUAGUGGCGGACGGGUGAGUAACACGUGGGAACGUGCCUUUAGGUUCGGAAUAACUCAGGGAAACUUGUGGUAAUACCGAAUGUGCCCUUCGGGGGAAAGAUUUAUCGCCUUUAGAGCGGCCCGCGUCUGAUUAGCUAGUUGGUUGAGGUAAUGGCUCACCAAGGCGACGAUCAGUAGCUGGUCUGAGAGGAUGAUCAGCCACAUUGGGACUGAGACACGGCCCAAACUCCUACGGGAGGCAGCAGUGGGGAAUCUUGCGCAAUGGGCGAAAGCCUGACGCAGCCAUGCCGCGUGAAUGAUGAAGGUCUUAGGAUUGUAAAAUUCUUUCACCGGGGACGAUAAUGACGGUACCCGGAGAAGAAGCCCCGGCUAACUUCGUG
rnacentral:rRNA from 1 species